rnacentral:rRNA from 1 species
UGGUAGUGUAUUGGACAACCAUGGCUUUAACGGGUAACGGAGGAUUAGGGUUCGAUUCCGGAGAGGGAGCCUGAGAAACGGCUACCACAUCUAAGGAAGGCAGCAGGCGCGUAAAUUACCCAAUCCUGACUCAGGGAGGUAGUGACAAGAAAUAACGGACCGAAGCCUAUGGUUUCGGGAUUGCAAUGAGUAGAAUUUAAACCCCUUUACGAGGAUCAAUUGGAGGGCAAGUCUGGUGCCAGCAGCCGCGGUAAUUCCAGCUCCAAUAGCGUAUAUUAAAGUUGUUGCAGUUAAAAAGCUCGUAGUUGGAUUUCUGGGAGGGUGCCAAUGUCCGCUCGUUCGCGUGUGCAGCGGCGCCCUUCCAUCCUUCUGUUAACGUUUCUUGGUAUUCAGUUACUGGUUUCGGGCUCAGAUAUUUUACCUUGAGAAAAUUAGAGUGUUUCAGGCAGGCUUGCGCCGGAAUACAUUAGCAUGGAAUAAUAGAAUAGGACUUUAGUCUCCUUUGUUGGUUUGAGGGACUGAAGUAAUGAUUAAUAGGGAUAGUUGGGGGCAUUAGUAUUUAAUUGUCAGAGGUGAAAUUCUCGGAUUUGUUAAAGACUAACUUAUGCGAAAGCAUUUGCCAAGGAUGUUUUC